AUGCUUUUUCUCCCUCUCUUUCUUCACUUUGUUUCCUCCCUGCCCGUCCCCAUCCCUCCUUUCUUCCCAUCUCUCUCCCCACCCAGACCCCUCCGUCCGUGCGGAAGUUCAUGUUCGCCCUGUGCCAACACGGUUUCUCAGCCCCUGCUUGCGUCCCCUCCGUGCCCAGAGCUGCUGCUGCGAGGCAGCAAAUGUAUUGGCGAUUCCCGCGCGGGCGCAGGCCGCGGCGGGGAAGGGCUGGAGCCCCUGCUCGUCUCCCUCGGCCCGGGCGGCACCAAACAGCAGCUUUUUAAGCCAGAAAGAGGGGGAAAAAAAAGAAAAGAGUUAGAAGAGCCAGCACCGAUACAUUUGUGCGCAAGCCGAGAGCAGCUCUGCCCCCGCCUUCCUCCUUGCUGCAAGAUCUGUGGCGGGUACCGGCUCUGCAAAUGCAGCCGGUGCUGGAGAGCCAAGAUACGGGGGGAAAACGCCGGCGGGGAAGGUCCUUUCUCGCCAUCCCUUCUCCUCCGGGAAAGCUUUCCCUCCCGCUGCCCUUUGCGCUUCCCAGCUGUCCUGUUCCUUGCGGUUUCCACUCUGGAGAACCGCAGCGAGAUGCUUGCGGAGAAACAGGAGCCUGCGAGUGCCCGGUCGCCGCUUCCCACCGUUCAACGCCAGCAGCUGGGUUCACAGCCCCGGGCRCAGGCGGGUGCUGAGGACAGGGUGCCUGGCUCAGCCGCGGGACCAUCCCGGCGGCGCAGCCCCACCGGCAGCACCGGGGACCCUUCCCGUUCCCGAGCUGGGCUAGACCGCGUCCCGCUUGGUUGUGGCCACGGGGAGACGAGGGAAAGGCAGCUUUGCUCCCGCAACAGCCCCAGCACAGCAAAGGCACAAGGCCAAAUCCUGCUUUGCUCUGCCCCGGGGGCCRCGGUGGCCUCAGUCCCUGCCCCGAGCACAGGACACGGCCGUCGGGGCCAGGCGGAGCCAUUCCCAGCCUUUGGCCCCCACGUUUGCCCACGCGGUCGGCGCCUUUGCCGCUUGCGGGUCCUCUGGCCUCAGCACCGCGCUGCCUUGGGGGCCGGCUCCGGGCUCUCGGCGUCUCCUCCUGCGGCCGCCCCGUGCUCGGAGAGGGGAAGGUGCCGCUGGGGCCGGGCUCGGAGGGCAGAGGAGCGCAGCGCGGAGCAGAGCAGGAUGCUUCGGGCUGCCGCUCGCCUGCCUCCCCCCUUCUUUGAGCUUUUUCAGUGUAGCCCCCACCCUGGGCUGGACCCCUCCGCCCCUCGUGGGUCCUGGGCAUCCCCAAAAGCUCAGCCCCGACGCCAGCUCGCUUGUGCUCGCCGCAGCUCAUCUUAG
rnacentral:lncRNA from 1 species